AGGUAUGAGGAAGUUCCUCCCUCCUGAAAGUUGGAAGGUGUCCGGAACGGAGAGUGUGGGAACAG
rnacentral:ribozyme from 17 species